CAUUGAGCCUUGAUGUGUAGGAUAGGUGGGAGGCUUUGAAGUGUGGACGCCAGUCUGCAUGGAGCCGACCUUGAAAUACCACCCUUUAAUGUUUGAUGUUCUAACGUGGACCCGUGAUCCGGGUUGCGGACAGUGUCUGGUGGGUAGUUUGACUGGGGCGGUCUCCUCCUAAAGAGUAACGGAGGAGCACGAAGGUUGGCUAAUCCUGGUCGGACAUCAGGAGGUUAGUGCAAUGGCAUAAGCCAGCUUGACUGCGAGCGUGACGGCGCGAGCAGGUGCGAAAGCAGGUCAUAGUGAUCCGGUGGUUCUGAAUGGAAGGGCCAUCGCUCAACGGAUAAAAGGUACUCCGGGGAUAACAGGCUGAUACCGCCCAAGAGUUCAUAUCGACGGCGGUGUUUGGCACCUCGAUGUCGGCUCAUCACAUCCUGGGGCUGAAGUAGGUCCCAAGGGUAUGGCUGUUCGCCAUUUAAAGUGGUACGCGAGCUGGGUUUAGAACGUCGUGAGACAGUUCGGUCCCUAUCUGCCGUGGGCGCUGGAGAACUGAGGGGGGCUGCUCCUAGUACGAGAGGACCGGAGUGGACGCAUCACUGGUGUUCGGGUUGUCAUGCCAAUGGCACUGCCCGGUAGCUAAAUGCGGAAGAGA
rnacentral:rRNA from 1 species